CGAGACUAGGACGAGACUUGCGUGGAUCUUCUGCCCCCUCUGCCUCCUUGCGGUGUAGAGGUAUGUAGGGCUUAGGCAGCUCCCAGCCAAAAUUCGGAGGAACACACUAUCACCGAGGAUAAAGAUUCCGCUGAAGAAUCCUCGGAGGGUGAAUCAAAUGGCUGAUUUUGUCACUGAACCGCUGUUUGGAAGGACGUCUUGGGCAAGUCGUCUUUGCGUACUCUCUUCAAUUGGUGACUACUAUCACAUCUCCAAUGGGUGACCACUAUCACAUCUAUCGAGGUGUUGUUUGUUUGUACAUGACAACUUUGGAAAAUGCCGAUUAUUGUAUACUACAUGAAGACAGAGUAGUAUUUGGUAGAACGAUGACAGUCAUCUGUUUUUACAACGAGCACACGUACAGACAUGCUGUGUGUUUCCUAUUCAGUUUGCCGUGUGAAUUUCUGUCAUUUUGUGCACAAGGGAUAUCGACGUUUACAGUAUGAAGAAGUCCCCAUUAGUCAUAUCAUGAUAAGAAAGUGCUAUGCUGUGCAUCUGCAGCGUAUGCCUUCUAGAGGAGGGGUUAAAGUUAACGUUAUAACAUCUCCCAUCUCCAGACCCUUCAUAUUGUCUUAUUACCAUUUCUACAUUGAUAUUACUAUAUCAUUUAUAGUAUGUACCUUCUUUUCCGUUAGCAUUUCCUUAUUUUUGUUGUUAUUGCAUCAAUUUAUAGUCUGUGCAGUUAAUUUUUGUUAGACAUGUCUUUUAAAAUCCACUUGUAAUAGACCCAUUCGACUUUCACGAACCGCAUAAACUCCUUACGUCACAGGGGGGACAUUUCGAUAGAACAUCGUUCUAGAACGCCUAAGUUGAACGCGGUUUGCGCUCGCUGUGUCCCCCCUGGCAGAUCAUUUUUUUUACUAAAAUGUAGGUAAGUGUCUUUUUUUCUCGGUCAUAUAUGCGGAAA